rnacentral:tRNA from 1 species
GCCUGGGUGGCUCAGUUGGUUAAGCGUCUGACUUCGGCUCAGGUCACGAUCGCUUGGUUUGUGGGUUUGAGCCCCAUGUCGGGCU